CAGCCUUGCUCACAUUAACCUCUCCUAAUCUCGUCGCUCUCACCCCCUCCAUCCAUACCACAAUUACCGGCCCUCGCUCUUCCAGACUCACCCUAUCACAUUAAUCCCCCUAAUCCUAUCACACUCAUCUUCAACCCUAUCACACUCAUGCUUUUUCACAUUAACCCUUUCACUCGUGCCCAACCAUGCCAUACUCACCCUGUCACAUAAUCCUGUCCGGCUCACUUUCCCUCGCCUUGUCCAACUCAUCCCCCUUCACCCUAUCACAUUAACUUCUCCUAUCCUGUCACUCAUCCUGCCUAGACAUGCCACACUCACCCUGUCACAUAACCCUCCC